GGAGGGGCCAUAGCUCAGUUGAUAAAGCAUCUGCUUUGCAGACAGAAGGUCCCAAGUUCAAUCCCUGGCAUCUCCA